UACGUAGGGUGCAAGCGUUGUCCGGAAUUACUGGGCGUAAAGAGCUCGUAGGCGGUUUGUCGCGUCGUCUGUGAAAACUCGAGGCUCAACCUCGAGCUUGCAGGCGAUACGGGCAGACUUGAGUACUGCAGGGGAGACUGGAAUUCCUGGUGUAGCGGUGAAAUGCGCAGAUAUCAGGAGGAACACCGGUGGCGAAGGCGGUUCUCUGGGCAUUACCUGACGCUGAGGAGCGAAAGUGUGGGGAGCGAACAGG
rnacentral:rRNA from 1 species